UUUUUUGUUUUUUUUCGAUGUCAUUUUUUAUUCUCCUUUUUGCGUUUCUCUCUCUCAAACACGAUGAUAAUGCCAAUAAAGACCAAAGGC
rnacentral:ribozyme from 1 species